GUUGCAGCCCGGACGUGGUAGUGGGAGGGUGUGCUGACGUCUGCCCGGCCUCCUGUGUGCCCACAACGCUGCCUCCUUGCCCUGGCCUCUCCAGCACCUUGACCGUGUCAGGCCACCCAUCGUCUGUGAGGCAAGAACAGUCAAGGAAUCGCCACAUUCACCACUGACCAAUCACCAGACAAGAGGUCCGGGCGGUGCCUCAAGCCUUCCCGCGCCGUUGCUCGCCGCCACCAGCCAGUCCUCCCGCGACGAGGCGCUUCAACCCUGGACACGACCGUGUGGACAGACUUACCCAGAUCCAGUGUGAACGAGUUUGGUUCUGCAGUGGUCUGUUUUACCCCUUCCUCGGAGGUUGCUCUUCGUCACAUCACAAGCUACUGGAGCUGCCCAGACUGCAGCAGAGCACCCUGCAAGCUUGAGAAGAGCUGGCAAACUGAACCUUAGUAAAUAUUAAUAUUUACUAAUGUAAAAUAAAGAACAAUAAGAUAC